rnacentral:rRNA from 1 species
GACGAACGCUGGCGGCGUGCUUAACACAUGCAAGUCGAACGGUUCAUCUUGGGUAACUGAGAUGGAUAGUGGCGGACGGGUGAGUAACGCGUGGGUAACCUGCCCAUAACACUGGGACAACUCUGGGAAACUGGAGCUAAUACCGGAUACGCUCUCUGAGUGGCAUCGCUUAGAGAGGAAAGGCGGCCUCUGAAUAUGCUGCCGAUUAUGGAUGGACCCGCGUCUGAUUAGCUAGUUGGUGAGGUAAUGGCUCACCAAGGCGACGAUCAGUAGCCGGCCUGAGAGGGUGGCCGGCCACACUGGGACUGAGACACGGCCCAGACUCCUACGGGAGGCAGCAGUGGGGAAUAUUGCGCAAUGGGCGAAAGCCUGACGCAGCAACGCCGCGUGAGUGAAGAAGGCCUUCGGGUCGUAAAGCUCUGUCUUUUUGGACGAAGAUCCAGAUGGUAAAUAGCCAUUUGGGAUGACGGUACAAGAGAAGGAAGCCCCGGCUAACUACGUGCCAGCCGCCGCAGUAACAC